rnacentral:rRNA from 1 species
UGGGGGGGCCCGAAGUCGCGAUGCUAACCGCAAGGAGGCAGCCGGCCACGGUAGGGUCAGCGACUGGGGUGAAGUCGUAACAAGGUAGCCGUAGGUGAACCUGCAGAAGGAUCA